GAUUGCUCAGUUGGGUAGAAUGUGGUGCUCAUAAUGCCAAGGCCACAGGUUUGAUCCCUGUAUGCGGCA